CGCUGUUGUCAGGGAGGGAAACCUCCGUUCGCGGGCUGUCAGGGAGCAGAAACAGACAUCAUGGAUGUGGAGAUGGCGGAGACUGAGUGUAAGCAGAAACCCACAGAAACCGGACAGAAGGCGGACACGGAGGCCAGAGAGUCCUCGUCUAAAGGCUCCGGGAGCGCUUACGAGCUACCGUGGGUGGAGAAAUACCGGCCGCUGAAGCUGAACGAGAUUGUGGGAAACGAGGAGACGGUGAGCAGGCUGGAGGUCUUCGCCAGAGAGGGAAACGUCCCCAACAUAAUCAUCGCAGGUCCUCCUGGCACUGGAAAGACCACCAGCAUCUUGUGUUUGGCCCGCGCUCUGCUGGGAACCUCGAUGAAGGACGCUGUGCUGGAGCUGAACGCCUCCAACGACAGGGGCAUCGACGUGGUGAGGAACAAGAUCAAGAUGUUUGCUCAGCAGAAGGUCACACUGCCGAAAGGACGGCACAAGAUCAUCAUUCUGGACGAAGCCGACAGCAUGACAGACGGAGCUCAGCAGGCACUGAGGAGGAUCAUGGAGAUCUACUCGAAGACGACGCGCUUCGCUCUCGCCUGCAACGCCUCCGAUAAGAUCAUCGAGCCGAUCCAGUCCCGCUGCGCCGUGCUGCGCUACUCCAAACUGACCGACGGCCAGAUCCUCGUCCGGCUGCAGGAAGUGGUGGAGAAAGAGCACCUCUCAGUGUCCGACGAUGGACUGGAAGCCAUCAUCUUCACUGCGCAGGGAGACAUGAGACAGGCGCUGAACAAUCUGCAGUCCACUCACUCCGGCUUUGGCUACAUCAACAGCGAGAACGUGUUUAAGGUGUGCGACGAGCCCCACCCCCUGAUGGUGAAAAGCAUGCUGGGACACUGCGUGGACGGGAACAUCGACGAGGCCUACAAAGUCGUGGAGCAGCUGUGGGCGCUGGGCUACUCUCCAGAGGACAUCAUCGGGAACAUCUUCAGGGUCUGUAAGACCUACCAGAUGGCCGAGUACCUGAAGCUGGAGUUCAUCAAGCUUCCUGUCACGCGGAGAAACAGGAAGGACGAUGCUGCUGUCUGCUGGGUUGCUGCCUUGGGCGGACGGUGGCCACUUGCGUACAUCUGAGCGCUCAGGAAAUAUGAAUAAUAACUGAGGAGCAGUUCUACUGAUGGCUACUGAUUAAAGGAAAGCUUAAACAAAGUGCUGAACAUCAUUGGUGGACCGCUGCAGUAGUACCACAGGACAGGCUGACAGAGACGCCCUCCCCGGUGCCGUUACAGAUCUGGAUGUUUUAGGUUUUCGUAGUGGGGAAUUUUCCUGAACUUUCUGAGCUCAGGCACCCAAACAUUGAUUUUUACCUGGAUCCACAGCCACCUCCUUCUCCGGAAACUCAUUCCAGCUGCACGCUUCCAUGAUUUAUUUAUGUUGUCCUGUUCUGAGGUGAGGACGGGAACAGAUCGAGGAGUGAAACAGCUUCACCGUGACCGACCGUCUGCAUCCAUCAGUCCCACUCAUCAGCUCGUGAGCACUUUAUGGUGUCGUUUCGGUCUGCCGGAGCAUGAAGUCGAGCACUGCAGCAGCUUUAAGCUUCAAGCUACUGGAGAUCGGCUACACCCACAUGCGGAUAGCUGAAGGUGUGAACUCCCUGCUGCAGAUGGCUGGUCUGCUCGCACGGCUCUGCAGCAAGACGGCGCCCGCCGCUGCCAGCUAA